CAGCAGCAGUAGUAGUAGUAGUAGUAGUAAAGCAAAUUUGCAAGCCUUAAGGACAUUGAAGUCUUUAAGGUCCCUGAAAAUAGCUAUAACA
ensembl:snoRNA